CACAAGGAUCUGUACAAGGACGUCAUGAUGGAGGACCACCAGCCCCUCACAUCACCAGGAAGAUCCAGUAAGAAGAACACCAGAGAGAUGUCCCAGUCCUCUUCUUCCACAGGAUCAUCAGAUUUUGAUUCAGGAUAAAGAUCUGAGGAGUAUUAAUUCUAGAGAGACCUGUUUGAAGGGUGAAGACCAGUAUAAAGAGGAAUUUCCUACAGAGACAUUUGUGUGGGGUGAUGACCAGUGUAAGGAGGAACCCCCUA